rfam:Amycolatopsis methanolica 239, complete genome.
CCGGCUCCGGUUCACCCCACGUGUCGAAGAACGCCGCGGGGACCCGGCGGCC